UUUGGUUAAGUUAGAAAGGGCGCACGGUGGAUGCCUUGACACUAGGAGUCGAUGAAGGACGGGACUAACGCCGAUAUGCUUCGGGGAGCUGUAAGUAAGCUUUGAUCCGAAGAUUUCCGAAUGGGGAAACCCACCAUACGUAAUGGUAUGGUAUCCUUAUCUGAAUACAUAGGGUAAGGAAGACAGACCCAGGGAACUGAAACAUCUAAGUACCUGGAGGAAGAGAAAGCAAAUGCGAUUUCCUGAGUAGCGGCGAGCGAAACGGAACAUAGCCCAAACCAAGAGGCUUGCCUCUUGGGGUUGUAGGACAUUCUAUACGGAGUUACAAAGGAACGAGGUAGACGAAGCGACCUGGAAAGGUCCGUCGUAGAGGGUAACAACCCCGUAGUCGAAACUUCGUUCUCUCUUGAAUGUAUCCUGAGUACGGCGGAACACGUGAAAUUCCGUCGGAAUCUGGGAGGACCAUCUCCCAAGGCUAAAUACUCCCUAGUGAUCGAUAGUGAACCAGUACCGUGAGGGAAAGGUGAAAAGCACCCCGGAAGGGGAGUGAAAGAGAUCCUGAAACCGUGUGCCUACAAAUAGUCAGAGCCCGUUAAUGGGUGAUGGCGUGCCUUUUGUAGAAUGAACCGGCGAGUUACGAUCCCGUGCGAGGUUAAGCUGAAGAGGCGGAGCCGCAGCGAAAGCGAGUCUGAAUAGGGCGUUUAGUACGUGGUCGUAGACCCGAAACCAGGUGAUCUACCCAUGUCCAGGGUGAAGUUCAGGUAACACUGAAUGGAGGCCCGAACCCACGCACGUUGAAAAGUGCGGGGAUGAGGUGUGGGUAGCGGAGAAAUUCCAAUCGAACCUGGAGAUAGCUGGUUCUCCCCGAAAUAGCUUUAGGGCUAGCCUUAAGUGUAAGAGUCUUGGAGGUAGAGCACUGAUUGGACUAGGGGUCCUCAUCGGAUUACCGAAUUCAGUCAAACUCCGAAUGCCAAUGACUUAUCCUUAGGAGUCAGACUGCGAGUGAUAAGAUCCGUAGUCAAAAGGGAAACAGCCCAGACCGCCAGCUAAGGUCCCAAAGUGUGUAUUAAGUGGAAAAGGAUGUGGAGUUGCUUAGACAACUAGGAUGUUGGCUUAGAAGCAGCCACCAUUUAAAGAGUGCGUAAUAGCUCACUAGUCGAGUGACUCUGCGCCGAAAAUGUACCGGGGCUAAAUACACCACCGAAGCUGCGGAUUGAUACCAAUGGUAUCAGUGGUAGGGGAGCGUUCUAAGGACAGUGAAGUCAGACCGUAAGGACUGGUGGAGUGCUUAGAAGUGAGAAUGCCGGUAUGAGUAGCGAAAGACGGGUGAGAAUCCCGUCCACCGAAUGCCUAAGGUUUCCUGAGGAAGGCUCGUCCGCUCAGGGUUAGUCAGGACCUAAGCCGAGGCCGACAGGCGUAGGCGAUGGACAACAGGUUGAUAUUCCUGUACCACCUCUUUAUCGUUUGAGCAAUGGAGGGACGCAGAAGGAUAGAAGAAGCGUGCGAUUGGUUGUGCACGUCCAAGCAGUUAGGCUGAUAAGUAGGCAAAUCCGCUUAUCGUGAAGGCUGAGCUGUGAUGGGGAAGCUCCUUAUGGAGCGAAGUCUUUGAUUCCCCGCUGCCAAGAAAAGCUUCUAGCGAGAUAAAAGGUGCCUGUACCGCAAACCGACACAGGUAGGCGAGGAGAGAAUCCUAAGGUGUGCGAGAGAACUCUGGUUAAGGAACUCGGCAAAAUGACCCCGUAACUUCGGGAGAAGGGGUGCUUUCUUAACGGAAAGCCGCAGUGAAUAGGCCCAAGCGACUGUUUAGCAAAAACACAGCUCUCUGCGAAGCCGUAAGGCGAAGUAUAGGGGGUGACACCUGCCCGGUGCUGGAAGGUUAAGGAGAGGGGUUAGCGUAAGCGAAGCUCUGAACUGAAGCCCCAGUAAACGGCGGCCGUAACUAUAACGGUCCUAAGGUAGCGAAAUUCCUUGUCGGGUAAGUUCCGACCCGCACGAAAGGUGUAACGAUUUGGGCACUGUCUCAACCAGAGACUCGGUGAAAUUAUAGUACCUGUGAAGAUGCAGGUUACCCGCGACAGGACGGAAAGACCCCGUGGAGCUUUACUGUAGCCUGAUAUUGAAUUUUGGUACAGUUUGUACAGGAUAGGCGGGAGCCAUUGAAACCGGAGCGCUAGCUUCGGUGGAGGCGCUGGUGGGAUACCGCCCUGACUGUAUUGAAAUUCUAACCUACGGGUCUUAUCGACCCGGGAGACAGUGUCAGGUGGGCAGUUUGACUGGGGCGGUCGCCUCCUAAAGUGUAACGGAGGCGCCCAAAGGUUCCCUCAGAAUGGUUGGAAAUCAUUCGUAGAGUGCAAAGGCAUAAGGGAGCUUGACUGCGAGACCUACAAGUCGAGCAGGGACGAAAGUCGGGCUUAGUGAUCCGGUGGUUCCGCAUGGAAGGGCCAUCGCUCAACGGAUAAAAGCUACCCCGGGGAUAACAGGCUUAUCUCCCCCAAGAGUCCACAUCGACGGGGAGGUUUGGCACCUCGAUGUCGGCUCAUCGCAUCCUGGGGCUGUAGUCGGUCCCAAGGGUUGGGCUGUUCGCCCAUUAAAGCGGUACGCGAGCUGGGUUCAGAACGUCGUGAGACAGUUCGGUCCCUAUCCGUCGUGGGCGUAGGAAAUUUGAGAGGAGCUGUCCUUAGUACGAGAGGACCGGGAUGGACGCACCGCUGGUGUACCAGUUGUUCUGCCAAGGGCAUAGCUGGGUAGCUAUGUGCGGAAGGGAUAAGUGCUGAAAGCAUCUAAGCAUGAAGCCCCCCUCAAGAUGAGAUUUCCCAUAGCGUAAGCUAGUAAGAUCCCUGAAAGAUGAUCAGGUUGAUAGGUUCGAGGUGGAAGCAUGGUGACAUGUGGAGCUGACGAAUACUAAUAGAUCGAGGACUUAACCAUAUAA
rnacentral:rRNA from 1 species